UUCUCGAAAGCACAGGGGUUAGUGCACCCGCCUCUCGGGCGGGAGACGGGGGUUCGAUUCCCCGUCGAGAAG
rnacentral:tRNA from 1 species